rnacentral:rRNA from 1 species
CCCUUAGAUGUUCUGGGCCGCACGCGUGCUACACUGAGUGGAUCAGCGGGUCAGGUUGCGCGAAAGCGUUUCCUAAUCUUUAAAUCCGCUCGUGAUGGGGAUUGACGGUUGCAAUUUUCUGUCAUGAACGAGGAAUACCUUGUAAGCGCGGGUCAUCAUCCCGCGCUGAAUACGUCCCUGCCCUUUGUACACACCGCCCGUCGCUCCUACCGAUUGAAUGAUCCGAUGAAUACCAUGGAUUGAGAGUUCGAACAGGUUCUCCUGUUUCAGCUUCUCGAGAAGUGGAGUAAAUCUUAUCAUUUAGAGGAAGGAGAAGUCGUAACA